rnacentral:lncRNA from 13 species
CGCGCGCCGCGGGUGGGCGGGGCCUGGCGGGGCAUCGGCCGGCGGGCGCUCCGCAACCCCUCACUGCCCUUGGAGCCGCCGGUUCGAGUCCCGUGUCCGCGCCCCGCCCGGCUGAGCCUGAAAACCAAGGCAGAGGCACAUCCCAGGGCUCAUCCUGAGCAGUGGAUUUUAUCCUGUAUGGAAAGAAAGCUGAAAAGAAUGGUGUAAGUGAUGGCGUUUGCAGGCAGGAAUGCCUUGUAAGUUAAGUGGGAAAAGGUGUUUAUAGAACCAAAGAAAACUGCUGAAGAUACAUUGUAAUGGAUUUUUUAAAUCAUUGAAAAUUUUCCAUUAAAAAUCUUGUAGAUGGCUGUAUUUCUUUCUUCUUUAUCAACUUGAGCCACAACACCCCUGUUUCAUUGCCUGCAGCUACCAGGCCUGCAUUUGGCCAUUUCUUAGGGGGUUUUAUUACUAUCUUAUUUUUAUUUGCUUGAAAAUAUUCCCAUCCAGGAGCUCUGAGCACGAUGGAUUAAUUGGCUCCACUUUGCAGGAGGAUCAUUGUCUAAAUCUCCACCCACCUUUUGUGUCCCGAAGCUGCUGGGAUAACCCAGGAUGGAACAAAGUGUUGUUGCCAAAAGAAAGCAGUGUCUGCUCUCCUGAAGCUCUGAGGAGAAGCUUGGCCUGUCCAGCAGCCAGGGAAAAAUCUGGGAGUCCUGGAAAGUGUGCAAGUGUUUGUGAUCUGAUAACACAAGAUCAGUGCUUAGAAGGAUGAUCAGGAGCUGAAACACUCAUCAAACUCCUAAAGGAAGACUUUGCUUGUUCUUGCAGCUUUGAGAGGUGUCUAGAGAUGCAACCAAGCACCAAAACAGGACAGAAGCUGAGGCAGAGAUGUCCAUCAGGACAUGUUUUCAAAGAAAUCAUUGUCUGUGAUGACUUCACCCUGUAAUUUAGCUGAUUUUAGCCACGGAAUAAUUUAAAUGUUCCUGUUGGUCAGCUCUGCGUGAGACAAAGAACAGCAAAAGCUUGUGAGGCUUUACCAAAACACUGGACAGUGUUAUUUCUAAACUUAUCAAACCUAUAUUUUAUAAGUCUUAUUAAAAAAAGGCUCUUAAAUCUACCCCUCUCCUUCCUUGGUGCUUCUGGUUCAUCUCCUCACAGGUAACAGUUAAGUACCAGUUGUCUAAUAUUAAAUACUCCCCCACUAAUUCACUCUUUAGCGCGUCAGAAUCUAUUCUGAUCUUUGUGGGACAAGUAAUUAGAACACCUUUUCUAGCUGGAAAACUCUCCUCAUUUUCAUCGUCAUCCCUGUGAGAAUGAUUUCAUUUGAAGGUCAGGUUUUCUGCAGACCCACUUGUGCCAGGAGACAGCCAAAUGAAGCCAGAGUUUUUAGGUGUUUACCAGCACAGGGAAGAAUUUAUUUUUCCAAGAUCUUUGUGAGAUACUGAACUAGAAGAAAACAGUCAUCGGGCCAACAAAAAAAAGUCUGUACUUCUCACCAAAAAAAACUUUGGAUCUCUGUUUUUCCACUUCAAAACAGCUGGCAUGGAGAGGGGUUGAUUGCAGAUGAGGUACCAGAUGUUUAAAAUGCUCUAAGUUCUCAUGCAUCUGAAUUAGGGGUGGAAUCCAACAGCACCUGGGCACCUGGGAAGUGCCGAGUUGUUCUCUUUGAGUUUGCAGGAUCAAACUGAGCAGUUUCCACAGAAAAAUAAUGCCAGGUGGGGAGGUUGAAGUGGGAACAGGAAAUCAGCUGGAAAGGGGCUUGGCCAAGAGCAAGAGCCACAAGGAACACUCAGAGGGUGGCACCUUAGGAUUUCUGGGAAAGAAGUGUGCUGGGGCACUUGUCGUUGGCCUGUAAUUUAAGGUUAAUGUUCCACAACACUGAUUCCUGUAUUGAUUUUUUCUUUGGCUGUUGCUGCCAGUUAAGAACAAAUGGCCCUGAGGAAUUCAGAGGUGGUUGCAACACAGUCAAGUGAAAGACGUUCCAACAGCCUCCCUUCCCCUGCCCAUUUUCUGUUUCGUUUCUGCUGGGCCAGAGGCAGCUCAGGUCCAUCCCCUCUCCUGAGUUACCCAGAGGUGAUGGAGCUCUGGUUCUUGCUGAGGAGUCACAGAGG